UACGUAGGGACCGAGCGUUGUCCGGAUUCAUUGGGCGUAAAGAGCUCGUAGGCGGCCACUCAAGUCGAAUGUGAAACCUCGAGGCUUAACCUCGAGCCUGCAUUCGAUACUGGGCGGCUAGAGUCUGGUAGGGGGAUCUGGAAUUCCUGGUGUAGCGGUGGAAUGCGCAGAUAUCAGGAGGAACACCGGUGGCGAAGGCGGCAUCCUGGACCGGCAUUGACGCUGAGGCGCGAAAGCCAGGGGAGCAAACGGG
rnacentral:rRNA from 1 species